rnacentral:lncRNA from 1 species
UGAGAAGUAAUUUUUAAAAAUGAUAUGGAGCCAAAUUUUUUUUAACCAACUUGGAAGUGUUUGGAUAGAGGAUGAAAAACUCUUUCAUGUGCUUGAUAUGGCUUCUCAAACUAUUAAUAAUUCUUGGAGAAAUUAAAUUUAAGCAUAAGUUGCCCAAAUUUUAUGCUAAUUAAGAUCACAUUUCCAAACCCCCUUCUCGCUAGUGAGUUUUUAGUUUUGUCUUCAUGAAUUAUUAAUAAGCUUUAGAAGGUCAUUCAAAAACCUGCAACGUGUUGCAGCAACAAAAUAUNAUUUAAAAAUUGGAACCCUAGGUCAUGUUACCCAAGAAAAAUUUUUCAAGCAACAUUGUGUGAAAAAUCAUCAUUGCAAAUCAUCGUGUAUAACACCUUAGUAUCAGUAUCAUUUUGUUUCUAGUUGAGCUGGCUCAUUUUUUAUGUGACUUGAAGUUGUGAAAGGCCCAAAUAUUUGGCCCUCUUCUUCAGUUGUUUCAUACAGAGCUCGUAAUUUACCUAUUAUGCAUGUUCUUAUCUGAUUUCUGAGCCCAUCCCACACGGCUUACCGCCUCAUCUAUCAGNAUCAUGGUUAAGUAAUAUGUUGUUUUAAUGAAACAGUGAAAAUGUUAAUUAAUCAGUACUCAUUAAUCAGUUUAGUUGUUGUUAGAUAUUUACAUGGGCCUUUUUGCACUAUGCAAUUUUCUAUAUUUUCCUUUGCAAAACAAAUCUGUCACCAAUGGUNAAUGUACUAUGUGGUGUACUCGCUGACACCUACAAAUUCUGUUUUGGAGAUAUAGAUUACUGGAAGUGUGUAAAACCCCUCUUUGAGNCUUUUACAACUGGUCCCUAAAAAGAGGAUCUAACAGAUUAGGUUAGUUCAAAAACCNAGUACAGGCAGAUGAUUACUUCAUCAUUAUAACAAAGCAAGUUUAGAGCUAGUAAAGUGAGCUGCAAACAAGGCAAGCCAAAAACAGCAACUUCAAGAAAUAGAAGGCAUGGAUUUUAAUCUCAACAAGAAGCACAUGNCUUCCCGCUUCCUCCUUGCAGACACUACAGCACUCAAUCAAUGACAACUGGUUGUUGCCAGCCCACAACUACUGUAGUUGAUGAAACAUUCAAGCUAUGCUGUUGAUGCUGAUCCUCCUUUUGUGCAAUUACAAACACAUUGAUGUUGGAAAGGGCAGGAGCUNGGGGUCCGUGGCUCCAGCCCUGUAUGCCUAACACAUGAGUAGAGUGUGUUUGAUGUGUUGUUCUCUCCUGUGCNAUGAGGANUUUUCUCCAGGUUCUCUGUGCAUUUUUUCCACCUGACAACUGGUGAGGCCAGAUGAUGUUGAGGCCGGGCAUGAUGGUCAAAAUUGCCAGGCUUUGAGAUGCCACCAGCUGCCAUUCCACAGCUUNCUUACUUACAGCUGCUUCAUUAGACAUUUUUAGUUGCUUUCUCUUCAGGUAUUUCUGGUCCCCGAAUGAAAACUAACGAGAAUCCAAAGAAGAAAGUACUGCUAGCUACAGAGAAAAGUUUUCAAUGCUUGAGAGAAAUAUCAGUCUGGUUAAAAGACCAUGGCACAGUUGCCGAGGACGGAAUAAGUAUCUACUAAAAAAGUAGAGUUUGUAUAUAAUUUUAAUACUAUGUUUAUAGUAACUACACAAUAGACCAUUUUCAAGUUUCAAAUUACCAUUUUCCUACUUGAUUACAGACUCAUUUACACAGGGUUAACCUCAAAACAGUAUAUUCACAAAUACCAACGGUAAAGUAAAGAAUGCACAACUUCAACAAUACAAACACUUUGAAACUCAACAGACCUUCAUUGGAACACGUGAAUAUUCUGCACAAAAUCAAGGCUAACCCUGUGCAACAGAGGACUCGAAACUGGAGUAUAGCCCACUUCCAAGAUAUGUUUCAUUUGUAACACANUAAUGUUUUAGUACGAGGCUACAUGAAUCAUAUUAAUUUUCAUUUCUACUAUAUUGUAAAUCACUGAUAUAUUCAUGUAGCCUCAUAUUGAAACCUUCGCGUGUGACAAGCGAAGUGGGCUAUUGAAGUGACAAUACACAUCACAUGCAUGGACCUUUGAACCCAAUAAAGCCGUCUUCAUUAUUGUGUUUGAAAUAUGAUCUUUAUACAAACUAAAGGCAAAUGUCUUUAUUUAAAGAAUACUAAUGAGGAUGACUUUAUCAGAGAUAAAGAUGCANCUACUGUAAGUUUAAAUAUGAAAACUUUACUGAAAUUUUUUAAAAACAUGCAAACUCUGUGUCUGCAAACUUUAUGUUGAAAUUUGGUUUUCCACUGCCCUCAAUCAAACCUAAUCAGUCNGUUCCUUUCAUAUUUUUGACUGGCGGCAGCUAAAAACCAGAUUUGAGGGUGCAGCUCGCAGGCUCAGAGUUCACAUGUUUAUGACAGUCUCUUAAAAUAAUUAUGGUCACUUGUUGCACACAAACAUUAACAAAUUUUGUUGACUAGUGACCUUGUUUUGAAAUUGGCAUGCUGUCUUUAACUUCUAGGAGUCUUUUUAGACUCACUGUGCAUGGCAGUGAUGAAAUAAAAUAUUGAUUGAGUAUAAAA